CGUCUAUGACGCACGUCGCGCUGGCAUUGUUCACGGACGUUUGGUCGCUGGUAAUUAAUCUUUUUCAUGAAGAAUUCGACUAGGCGUUUUGCGACCCCACGAGUGGCAGGAGGUUAGGUGUAGCAUCGAGGGCUCGUCGCUUCCUUGAUUUCCGUGAGCUUCCGAGUGGCAGGCGGACGCGUGAGCAGGUUCGACGUUAUGUUUCUCACUGUGUAUACCGUAGCCCCGCUAGCGAGAGGUGCGUGGGGGCCAAAGAAUUCAGAACUUCUGAAUUCUUUGGUGGAGACGCGAAGAGUCGUAAAAGGGAGCGAGGGAAGCAUCGCGAGGUGGUAUUCGCACGAGAGGGGCCCAGUUUAGCGAGGGAUUUCGGUUAGUCACGCUCUCUGUCUCUGUCUCGAAGCUUAGGCUCGCCUCCAAGGUUCACUUUGACUGCACGAAUUCAAGCAUGGUGAUGAUCGGAGACCCAAGCGUAAGCACAUAUACCUUUUAUAUAUGCACGAUCAUGAUUAAAUGUCUAGUUUUUGUACCUAGUAUGACAUACUAAUACUCCCGCUGAUAAGUCCGAGUCAAUCUUUUUUUCCCUGGGUACUCCCUUGACGCUUUGACUGCCGUGUCGCCCACGUUCGGGCGACAGGGCGGUCAAAGCGUUAACGAUAAGAUGUGCGUAGCGUAGCGACGUCCGACAUGUAACGUAACCUGUAAAGUGUGCUAGAAAGAGGGGGAUAUUACGAGUGCCGGUAGGUACUCGACGCGCAACCACGUCAGUUCUUGUAUCACAUUUUGUGUAACUCUCGAUGUAGCAUCGACCCUAGGGGAUUGUAGCACCGAAUUCUAAAUAUACUAACAUUUACCUCA